rnacentral:rRNA from 1 species
GUGUCAGCAGCCGCGGUAAUACGAAGGACCCGAGCGUUAUCCGGAUUUAUUGGGUUUAAAGGGUGCGUAGGCGUCCUGGAAAGUUACGGUUGAAAUCUCCUUGCUCAACAAGGAAACUGGCCGUAAAACUAUCAGGAUUGAGUACAUUUGAAGCGGGCGGAAUGUGUCAUGUAGCGGUGAAAUGCUUAGAUAUGACACAGAACACCAAUUGCGAAGGCAGCUCGCUAAACUGUAACUGACGCUGAGGCACGAAAGCGUGGGGAUCAAACAGGAUUAGAAACCCCCGUAGUCC